GACGGAGUGAAAGGCGAGGACGGCGUCUGCAUCAGUAUUCAGUAGUUGAAAAGAUGAGAUUAAAGAGGUUCAAGUACCACAAACAAGGAAUCUGAAGAAUGCUUUGGGAAAGUAUUCUCAGAAGUUCUCCCUUCAGCUCUAUCGUUAACUUGACAAUGUGAGAUAGGAUAAGUCUUGGUCACAAUUUUGGGUCUAAUAUCUGUCCCAACAUGUAGAUGGUUACUGGUUUGAUCAACCCUUCUCUUGUUAAAGAACUGCUCCACUGCAUAACAGUAAUACAGUGUGCUAAGGUAAGUGCUAACUCUAAUUUAA